UCAAGUAUCACCAUACGAUGCUUUGAAUGAUCUCCAAGCCUAGUUAGGUUGGUCUGUUAGAUGGGUUUUAACCACUUUUUUUCAACAGUCAAGCUGGGACAUCAGCUUUCUAACCAGCUAAACCGCCCAGCUGGGAGACCAGUUUGAACCACAUAAGACCAGGAAAGAUUCAACCCACUUCAAGAUGGUUUCAGCAAGAAACAGUUGAAGGAAAUCUAGAGGAAAUACAGAGAAUCCAGGAGUGACAGAAGGAGCUUGAGGAGCUGAGAGAGUCUGUAGAGUCUUACAAGCGCUCUGCACAGACAGCAGUGGAGGACACUGAGAGGAUCUUUACUGAGCUGAUCCGCUCCAUUGAGAGAAGACGCUCUGAGGUGACACAGCUGAUCAGAGAUCAGGAAAAGACUGCAGUGAGUCGAGCUGAAGAACAACUGAAGCGACUGGAGCAAGAGAUUGAAGACCUGAGGAGGAGAGACGCUGAGGUGGAGCAGCUUUCACACAAAGACAAUCAAUUUCCUCCAGGUAACAGAGAUCUGACAAAAAGAACAGUGUCAGGUGUGGGAAGAGCAUGCUGUACAGAUUGUGUUUCUAUCACAUGUUUCUGUUUCUUUAGCUGGUCUUUCUAUUGUGUCUUUGGGUCUGGGUAGAGUUUCUAGUCUCUCUCGUUCCUCCUGGAUCUACACUCACCCAGCAUCACGUCUCUUUUGAUGAUGCUGGUAAAUCCCUCAUCUGAAAGAGAAACUGGAGCAUUUCUGCAGAGAAGAGAUGAAAAAGAUAUCUAGUAAAGGAAUAAUAUUAACCGUUUUUUAUGAGUGAAAUAAGUAAUCCAUAUAUUUUACGUAAUCAUGUACUGUAUGCAUAUCAAUAAUAUAAUAUUUUAUUAAAAUACAAAGCAUAUCAACAUCUGAAUAUGACAUAAUUUUGAUA